rnacentral:rRNA from 1 species
AACGAACGCUGGCGGCAUGCCUAACACAUGCAAGUCGAACGGGAUCCUAGCUUGCUAGGUGAGAGUGGCGGACGGGUGAGUAACACGUGGGAAUCUGCCUUUUGGUUCGGGAUAACCGCGGGAAACUGCGGCUAAUACCGAAUGCCCUCGUGAGAGGAAAGAUUUAUCGCCAGAAGAGGAGCCCGCGUCCGAUUAGGUAGUUGGUGGGGUAAAGGCCUACCAAGCCGACGAUCGGUAGCUGGUCUGAGAGGAUGAUCAGCCACACUGGGACUGAGAUACGGCCCAGACUCCUACGGGAGGCAGCAGUGGGGAAUAUUGGACAAUGGGGGGCAACCCUGAUCCAGCAAUGCCGCGUGAGUGAUGAAGGCCUUAGGGUUGUAAAGCUCUUUUACCAGGGAUGAUAAUGACAGUACCUGGAGAAUAAGCUCCGGCUAACUCCGUGCCAGCAGCCGCGGUAAU